GGGGAAUUUUCCGCAAUGGGGGCAACCCUGACGGAGCAACGCCGCGUGAGGGAGGAAGGUCUGUGGAUUGUAAACCUCUUUUCUCUGGGAAGAAGAUAUGACGGUACCAGAGGAAUCAGCAUCGGCUAACUCCGUGCCAGCAGCCGCGGUAAGACGGAGGAUGCAAGCGUUAUCCGGAAUUAUUGGGCGUAAAGCGUCCGUAGGCGGUUUUAUAAGUCAGUUGUUAAAUACCGGGGCUCAACCCUGGGCGGGCAAUUGAAACUGUGAGACUAGAGUUCGGUAGGGGUAGAGGGAAUUCCUAGUGUAGCGGUGAAAUGCGUAGAUAUUAGGAAGAACACCAGUGGCGAAGGCGCUCUACUGGGCCGAGACUGACGCUGAUGGACGAAAGCUAGGGGAGCGAAAGGGAUUAGAUACCCCUGUAGUCCUAGCUGUAAACGAUGGAUACUAGGUGUUGCGCGUAUCGACCCGUGCAGUACCGCAGCAAACGCGUUAAGUAUCCCGCCUGGGGAGUACGCACGCAAGUGUGAAACUCAAAGGAAUUGACGGGGGCCCGCACAAGCGGUGGAGUAUGUGGUUUAAUUCGAUGCAACGCGAAGAACCUUACCAGGGCUUGACAUCCCGCGAAUUCCCUUGAAAGGGGGAAGUGCCUUCGGGAACGCGGAGACAGGUGGUGCAUGGCUGUCGUCAGCUCGUGUCGUGAGAUGUUGGGUUAAGUCCCGCAACGAGCGCAACCCUCGUUUUUAGUUGCCAUCAUUAAGUUGGGCACUCUAGAGAGACUGCCGGUGACAAACCGGAGGAAGGUGGGGAUGACGUCAAGUCAUCAUGCCCCUUACGUUCUGGGCUACACACGUACUACAAUGCUUCGGACAAAGGGCAGCCAGCUAGCGAUAGUGAGCAAAUCCCAUAAACCGAGGCACAGUUCAGAUUGCAGGCUGCAACUCGCCUGCAUGAAGGCGGAAUCGCUAGUAAUCGCAGGUCAGCAUACUGCGGUGAAUACGUUCCCGGGCCUUGUACACACCGCCCGUCACACCACGGGAGUUGGCCACGCCCGAAGCCGUUACCCCAACCUUUCGAGGAGGGGGACGUCGAAGGCAGGGCUGAUGACUGGGGUGAAGUCGUAACAAGGUAACC
rnacentral:rRNA from 1 species